rnacentral:rRNA from 1 species
UACGAAGGGGGCUAGCGUUGUUCGGAAUCACUGGGCGUAAAGCGCACGUAGGCGGAUUUUUAAGUCAGGGGUGAAAUCCCGAGGCUCAACCUCGGAACUGCCUUUGAUACUGGAGAUCUUGAGUCCGGAAGAGGUAAGUGGAACUGCGAGUGUAGAGGUGAAAUUCGUAGAUAUUCGCAAGAACACCAGUGGCGAAGGCGGACUUCCUGGACCGGUUCUGACACUGAGGAGCGAAAGCGUGGGGAGCGAUCCGG